rnacentral:rRNA from 1 species
GUGGGGAAUAUUGGACAAUGGGCGAAAGCCUGAUCCAGCAAUACCGCGUGUGUGAAGAAGGCCUGAGGGUUGUAAAGCACUUUUAAUCGGGAGGAACAUCUGAUGGUUAAUACCCAUCAGUCUGACAUUACCGAUAGAAAAAGCACCGGCUAACUCCGUGCCAGCAGCCGCGGUAAUACGGAGGGUGCAAGCGUUAAUCGGAAUUACUGGGCGUAAAGCGUGCGUAGGCGGCCUGUUAAGUCAGAUGUGAAAGCCCCGGGCUUAACCUGGGAACUGCAUUUGAUACUGGGAGGCUAGAGUUUACUAGAGGGGAGUGGAAUUUCCGGUGUAGCGGUGAAAUGCGUAGAGAUCGGAAGGAACACCAGUGGCGAAGGCGACUCCCUGGAGUAAAACUGACGCUGAGGUACGAAAGCGUGGGUAGCAAACAGGAUUAGAAACCCCGGUAGUCC